AACGAACGCUGGCGGCAUGCCUAACACAUGCAAGUCGAACGAGACCUUCGGGUCUAGUGGCGCACGGGUGCGUAACGCGUGGGAACCUGCCCUUAGGUUCGGAAUAACUCCCCGAAAGGGGUGCUAAUACCGGAUAAUGUCUUCGGACCAAAGAUUUAUCGCCUUUGGAUGGGCCCGCGUUGGAUUAGCUAGUUGGUAGGGUAAAAGCCUACCAAGGCGACGAUUCAUAGCUGGUCUGAGAGGAUGAUCAGCCACACUGGGACUGAGACACGGCCCAGACUCCUACGGGAGGCAGCAGUGGGGAAUAUUGGACAAUGGGCGAAAGCCUGAUCCAGCAAUGCCGCGUGAGUGAUGAAGGCCUUAGGGUUGUAAAGCUCUUUUACCCGGGAUGAUAAUGACGGUACCGGGAGAAUAAGCCCCGGCUAACUCCGUG
rnacentral:rRNA from 1 species